GCCUUCGUGGUGUAGUGGUCAGCACGCUCGACGCGUAACCUAGAGGUCCAUGGUUCGAUUCCCGGCGAAGGGG
rnacentral:tRNA from 1 species